rnacentral:lncRNA from 1 species
ACUUCAUGCAAGAAUAAUAUAAUCCAAUAUCUGACUUCUCAUGUGGUUUAUUAUUCUCUUGCUAAGACUCAUAUAUUCGUUCACUCAAAGAGAUUAUUACCUUUGUGGUAUGGCUUACACAGGCUUCCAAUAAAUACAAAGUUUUAUUUGACAAGGCAAAUAUAUUCUGACGGAAAAUAAUCAUAAAGUUACCUUUUGUGUUCAUGGUUUGCUGAAAAAGUUUUAACUCUUUAUUUCUUUGCUAAUUAGCUAUAUGGCCGGCUUUUCACUUUCCUUUCA